rnacentral:rRNA from 1 species
CCUACGGGUGGCAGCAGUGGGGAAUAUUGCACAAUGGGCGAAAGCCUGAUGCAGCCACGCCGCGUGAGUGAAGAAGGACCUCGGUAUGUAAAGCUCUAUCAGCAGGGAAGAAAACGACGGUACCUGUCUAAUAAGCCCUGGCCAAUUCCGGGCCAGCAGCCGCGGUAAUACGGCGGGUGCAAGCGCUAUCCGGAUUGACUGGGUGUAAAGCGAGCGUAGGCGGGUGGACAAGUCUGGUGUGAAAUCCCGGGGUUUAACCCGGGAACUGCAUUGGAAACUGGACGGCUGGAGUGCAGGAGGGGGAGGGGGAAUUCGUGGUGUAGCGGUGAAAUGCGUAGAGAUCAGGAGGAACACCGGUGGCGAAGGCGGCUUACUGGACUAAGACUGACGUUGAGGCGCGAAAGCGUGGGGAGCAAACAGGAUUAGAUACCCCUGUAGUC